rnacentral:rRNA from 1 species
AGUGAACGCUGGCGGUAGGCCUAACACAUGCAAGUCGAACGGCAGCACAGUAAGAGCCUGCUCUUACGGGUGGCGAGUGGCGGACGGGUGAGGAAUACAUCGGAAUCUACUUUUUCGUGGGGGAUAACGUAGGGAAACUUACGCUAAUACCGCAUACGACCUACGGGUGAAAGCAGGGGGUCUUCGGACCUUGCGCGAUUGAAUGAGCCGAUGUCGGAUUAGCUAGUUGGCGGGGUAAAGGCCCACCAAGGCGACGAUCCGUAGCUGGUCUGAGAGGAUGAUCAGCCACACUGGAACUGAGACACGGUCCAGACUCCUACGGGAGGCAGCAGUGGGGAAUAUUGGACAAUGGGCGCAAGCCUGAUCCAGCCAUACCGCGUGGGUGAAGAAGGCCUUCGGGUUGUAAAGCCCUUUUGUUGGGAAAGAAAAGCAGCAGGUUAAUACCCCGCUGUUCUGACGGUACCCAAAGAAUAAGCACCGGCUAACUUCGUG